UAAGAAUGCGCCAUUAGUAACCAGGGUUACUAAUGGCGCACCUGGUGUGUGGUGCGCCAUUACUAGUUUUAAAAAAAAUAUAAAAAAAUGUUAGUAGUGAGCUCUGAUUUUCACAAGGCGGCAAGUGAAAAUCAGAGCUCAGGCGGCAGGUGAUUUUUUUUCUUGCUUCUAAUGGUAGGAUGAUGUUCUGUAUACUAAAAAGGACUCGUGCACACUUGCUUUGCUCCUUAGUGUUUAUGAGCAGUUGCCAAACAUUAUAAUAGGAUAUACACAUUGCUUCAAAACUGAGUAUAUUCCUUGGUGAUGGUGUAUUUAUUAUGAAAAUAAAUAGGACUGCUUACCCAUGGUGAUGUGGUAUUGCUACUCGAUUACUUACCCUAUUUCUGUGACAAAGGCCCGUGAUAGAUAUGGUUAGACACAUAUUGAGCGUCCAAUUUCAUAAAUAUUGAGCAUACAGUUUCAACUUCAACUUAAACAUGAGAUUGUCUUGCUGUCGAGUUGUGUUCAGUUCUUUCCAUGUAGAACUUACUAGAAAUUCUUGCAUACAUCCUAAACAAAUAAAGAGCUGCAUGCAUUUAAAUUAAGCAGUUCCAAAGAAAGAAUUAUUUCAAGUUAUUUUGUUUGGAGAUGAGUUGCCUUUUCUACACCUUUGUGUAAAGGAUGGAGCCUCCACAGUGCCUAUGAGCCAUGCUUUUUCCCACCCAGUAAAAUGGUCUAUUUUCAAGUGGCAUCAUACGGUGAAGGAGGGGAUCUGGAUCAAGAGCCGUAAUGGUGCUUGUGAUGGCAUGUCGAGCACUUGCGCGACCCUGGAGUCUGACUUCUUCCUUCAAGUUGACCAUACUAUUGUGAGAAUCUCGGCCAGGAUCAUUCUUUAUAUCAUGUUGGAUCAUCUUGGAAUUCGUAGAGCCAUUUACCCUCGAAGGAUGUACUCACAGAACAAAUCAGUGUGAUUAUGCUUUUCUACACUUCCGUCCAAAGUAAUGGGAUAUGUAUUCUGUACUGUAUAGCUACCCUCUAAUGCACUACUCAGCCUUCAAUAUCUGUAUGUACAAAUGACUUGAUCUAAUUAUUAUGAAUGACAUAUGGAGUGUGCUGCUUUCUAUAUAAAUGGCUUGCUCUAAUUCUGAUUUAUCAUACCGCAUUGCUUUUGAUCUAUUCCUUUUUGCCAAACUUGAUGCGUCAAGCUUUGAGCUACUAUACUGACAGCAAAGGUAACAUUCCACAAUGUACAAGUUCAUAUCACCUACUAAUCCACAUGUACUAUACUGCGGCAUGCUCAUAUCACCUACUAAUCCACAAGUACAAGUUCUAUGUCAAAGAUAAUCAUUCUCUCUGCUAAAAGCAUGGGCUCUGCAUUAUGUUUCUACUUUCAUUCCUUCCUAUCCUAUAUUAAUGCUUUUGGUACCGAACUUAAUGAUGAGUGGUUAUCUUUUGUGGUCUUAUGAACAUGCUGAACUCAAUGUUGCCUUAUAAUUUCAUGUCGAUAUUGAACUCCAUUAUGUUUUAUCACAAACGAAUGUUUCUUCUUCACUUUAGUUUGUUAUCAUGUUUCAUACGCUAAACGCAGAUUUGUACUAACUUAGCACUACUUGCUUUACCAAAAUGUUGGGACCGGCACCCUCGCGCCAGGGCGCGAUCCCGAUCUAGUCUUCUUGGUGGCGGCUGAGACACGGGAGAGCCUGCUGCGGGAGAUCGGCGGCGGCGGCAUUUUUGAAGAUGUUGUGCCCAGAUUGGCAUUCGUACUGCGAGAAAGACGAUGAGGAUAGCUUUGGCAUUUUCAUUCGCGACGGGUCUGGAGAUUUUGCUCAUCCCAUGCACCGCAAGGAACCAGUUCAACCAGAUCAGUGGCCUGAAGUUUAAAGCACACGGCCCUAGGUAUGUUGUUGAUGUGUUCAUUGGACACUCAACAAUAUUUUGAUUAGGGGUGAUGACUGGGCGAAGUUCAAAUGUGACUUCAACAUUUGCCAGGGCAAAAAAGUGGUGUUCGACAUGUUUUGGACGGAUGCCCCAGGCUUAUGUGUGUUAUGUUGGAAGUGGGCUUGCAACAGAUCACAGGGGGUGCAAGGCGGGACAUGGCAGGAGGUGAUGUUGCGCCGGGGGGGGGGGGGGAGCCGGCAAUUUUGCUGUGCAUGGAGUGGAAGAGGUAAUUAAUUGUGGUCACGGUGUUGAAGCUGCCCCAGACAUCAUUUGUACCAGGGGUGUUGUUCUCAGUGAUGGCGAAGCACAAAUGUUGGGACUGGUAAUAACCAUUGAAGAUGGAUACACAUUGGACCACAUUUUGUGCACCGCCUCACGCCCACGAACAUCACAAGCAAGUUUAUGGAAAAUCCCCAAUAAAAUAGUUCAACCAGUGAACUUGGCUCCAAAAGGGGUUGUUGGGAUUUUGCAUCCGUGUAGGAGAUCUCAUGCAGCUUGGAUAUCACAUGGAUCGUGAUGGACGGAUGGUCUUCGAUAAAGAUUGGGGGUGUUUUUGUAGCCCAGAAUUACCUCCAGGUGGACGAUGCUGUCAUUUUCAACUUGAAGCAGAGCAAUGCACAAGGCAUCAACAUAACAUGCAUCGUCAUUGGUUUGAGGCCGGCACAAGGAUACAAGUUUUUGUGCUAGAAACAGUGUAACAUCAUUUCCUAAGGCGACCAUUUAUUGUGACUUAGGCUAUCCAGCUACCUUCCCUUUUUAUGUCUUUUUGUUUUUCUGAACUAUGUAAGCAUUGGGAUGGAUGUUUUCCUGAACUAUGUAAGCACUGAGAUGGAUCUUU